GCCUGGUGGCUCAGUCGGUUAAGUGUCUGACUUCAGCUCAGGUCGUGAUCUCACGGUUCGUGGGUUCGAGCCCUGCAUCAGGCU
rnacentral:tRNA from 1 species